rnacentral:rRNA from 1 species
AUGAACGCUGGCGGCGUGCCUAAUACAUGCAAGUCGAGCGCACAGACGAGGAGCUUGCUCCUUUGACGUUAGCGGCGGACGGGUGAGUAACACGUGGAUAACCUACCUAUAAGACUGGGAUAACUUCGGGAAACCGGAGCUAAUACCGGAUAACAUGUUGAACCGCAUGGUUCAACAGUGAAAGACGGUCUUGCUGUCACUUAUAGAUGGAUCCGCGCCGCAUUAGCUAGUUGGUAAGGUAACGGCUUACCAAGGCAACGAUGCGUAGCCGACCUGAGAGGGUGAUCGGCCACACUGGAACUGAGACACGGUCCAGACUCCUACGGGAGGCAGCAGUAGGGAAUCUUCCGCAAUGGGCGAAAGCCUGACGGAGCAACGCCGCGUGAGUGAAGAAGGUCUUCGGAUCGUAAAACUCUGUUAUUAGGGAAGAACAAAUGUGUAAGUAACUAUGCACGUCUUGACGGUACCUAAUCAGAAAGCCACGGCUAACUACGUG